GGGAAUGUGGCACUCUUCGGGGUGUGUUAUAGCCCGUUGUGUAAUACCCUGGGGGGGACUGAGGUUCGCGCAUCUGCAAGGAUGCUGGCGUAAUGGUCAUCAACGA
rnacentral:rRNA from 1 species